AGCGUAUGGCUUCAGUUCCUCGCCGGAAUCAGCCUCCAUAGCUUAAUUCGGAAAAGAAAAAGUAAAAGAAAAAAAAAUCAAAAUAAACGAAAGAGAAAAAAUGACUGGAUAUUUUUUUAGUUAUCUUCUCCGUCGGAGCUCUCGAGAGCUUGUGCUUCUUUUAUUUAUAGGAUAAAAUUGUCCACUGGGAACUUGAAUUGAGGGUAGGCCAACAAAACGUGACGUAUAAAACAAUAAUUAAUUUACUGACUUUCAUUUUUUUUUUUUUUUUAAAAAAAAAAAA
rnacentral:lncRNA from 1 species